GUGGAGGUUAGUCUCCAUGCAGCUGCCGUAACUGUCAACAAUAUCAAAAUCCUCAGGCCCCAACAAUGAAUUCUCUAUUUCUCUAAGUUUGUGCUUCAAAUCAUUCCCAUCGUCAACACUGGACAUACCACUUAUCGGGGAUCCAUAGGUGUUGUCAGGUGAUUGGUGGUGAUCUGAAUGGCAUGAUUGAGACUCUUGUGGAGAAAAUGGAGUCCUGUUAGAGGAUACACUGGCAUAGGAAGGAGAAUCACAGUCAAUGAAACCGGUGAUUUCUGGGUAUGAUUCCAGGGUGAAGCGUUGCGGCUUGUAGGUUUCGAAAGAAAGAUCAGUUCCCUGGCUGCUGCUACCAUCUCUAUCACCACAUAGAUUGGUUUGUAGGUAAAUGCCCUGAGCAGGUUGGUGAUAGAAACCGAGACCAGAUGAAUUUGGCCUUUGCUGAGACAUUUGCAUCUUGAAAU
rnacentral:lncRNA from 1 species